AUACUUACCUGGACAGGGUCAAUGGCCGACCAAGAAGGUCCAUGGCCAAGGCUGGUGACCUCCAUUGCACUUUGGAGGGAUGCCUGCCUAAGGUUGGCCCAAGUGGCCGAGCCUACGUCAUAGUUUUUGGCAGCGGGGGCCUGCGUUCGCACGUCCCCU
rnacentral:snRNA from 1 species